rnacentral:rRNA from 1 species
UACGGAGGGGGGCUAGCGUUGUUCGGAAUUACUGGGCGUAAAGCGUACGUAGGCGGCUUUGUAAGUUAGAGGUGAAAGCCCAGAGCUCAACUCUGGAAUUGCCUUUAAGAACUGCAUCGCUUGAAUCGUGGAGAGGUUAGUGGAAUUCCGGAGUGUAGAGGUGAAAUUCGUAGAUAUUCGGAAGAACACCAGUGGCGAAGGGCGGCUCACUGGACCGGUAUUGACGCUGAGGUGGCGAAAGCG